rnacentral:rRNA from 1 species
AUACGGAGGGUGCAAGCGUUAUUCGGAAUCACUGGGCGUAAAGGACGCGUAGGCGGGUUGGCAAGUCAGAUGUGAAAUCCUACAUCUUAACUGUAGAACUGCAUUUGAAACUGCUAACCUAGAGUAUGGGAGGGGGAGAUGGAAUUAGUGGUGUAGGGGUAAAAUCCGUAGAUAUCACUAGGAAUACCGAAAGCGAAGGCGAUCUCCUGGAACAUAACUGACGCUAAGGCGUGAAAGCGUGGGGAGCAAACAGGAUUAGAAACCCCAGUAGUCC